AUCCCAUGAUGAGGACAGGCGCGAAUGUACUCCUGCAGACGUUCCCAUGCUUCGGGAAUCGUAGAAAUCUUUCCACGAAGGGC
rnacentral:snoRNA from 1 species